rnacentral:rRNA from 1 species
ACAACGACUCUCGGCAACGGAUAUCUCGGCUCUCGCAUCGAUGAAGAACGUAGCGAAAUGCGAUACUUGGUGUGAAUUGCARAAUCCCGUGAACCAUCGAGUCUUUGAACGCAAGUUGCGCCCGACGCCAUCUGGUCGAGGGCACGUCUGCCUGGGCGUCACGC